rnacentral:rRNA from 1 species
UUUAUGGAGAGUUUGAUCCUGGCUCAGGAUGAACGCUGGCGGCGUGCCUAAUACAUGCAAGUCGAGCGAACGGACGAGAAGCUUGCUUCUCUGAUGUUAGCGGCGGACGGGUGAGUAACACGUGGAUAACCUACCUAUAAGACUGGGAUAACUUCGGGAAACCGGAGCUAAUACCGGAUAAUAUUUUGAACCGCAUGGUUCAAAAGUGAAAGACGGUCUUGCUGUCACUUAUAGAUGGAUCCGCGCUGCAUUAGCUAGUUGGUAAGGUAACGGCUUACCAAGGCAACGAUGCAUAGCCGACCUGAGAGGGUGAUCGGCCACACUGGAACUGAGACACGGUCCAGACUCCUACGGGAGGCAGCAGUAGGGAAUCUUCCGCAAUGGGCGAAAGCCUGACGGAGCAACGCCGCGUGAGUGAUGAAGGUCUUCGGAUCGUAAAACUCUGUUAUUAGGGAAGAACAUAUGUGUAAGUAACUGUGCACAUCUUGACGGUACCUAAUCAGAAAGCCACGGCUAACUACGUGCCAGCAGCCGCGGUAAUACGUAGGUGGCAAGCGUUAUCCGGAAUUAUUGGGCGUAAAGCGCGCGUAGGCGGUUUUUUAAGUCUGAUGUGAAAGCCCACGGCUCAACCGUGGAGGGUCAUUGGAAACUGGAAAACUUGAGUGCAGAAGAGGAAAGUGGAAUUCCAUGUGUAGCGGUGAAAUGCGCAGAGAUAUGGAGGAACACCAGUGGCGAAGGCGACUUUCUGGUCUGUAACUGACGCUGAUGUGCGAAAGCGUGGGGAUCAAACAGGAUUAGAUACCCUGGUAGUCCACGCCGUAAACGAUGAGUGCUAAGUGUUAGGGGGUUUCCGCCCCUUAGUGCUGCAGCUAACGCAUUAAGCACUCCGCCUGGGGAGUACGACCGCAAGGUUGAAACUCAAAGGAAUUGACGGGGACCCGCACAAGCGGUGGAGCAUGUGGUUUAAUUCGAAGCAACGCGAAGAACCUUACCAAAUCUUGACAUCCUUUGACAACUCUAGAGAUAGAGCCUUCC